AAGUCGUAACAAGGUUUCCGUAGGUGAACCUGCGGAAGGAUCAUUAACACAUUGUCCAUUUGAUGAUAGUGAUGUAAGAAUUUUUUUUAUAGAGUUUUUUUAACUCUUUAAUUUCUUCGUCCUAUCAUUCAAACCAAAUAGCGAAUGAGUUGAAGUCCUCAUUAUUAAUUAACUUUUAAUAAUUAGUGGAAUAAAACUAAAAUGUAAUCACGUUUAAUGAAUUUCUUUACCGAGAUUUCAUUCGACUAAAUGUUUACAAAAAAAAAACAAUAAUAUAACCAAGACAACUUGUAACAGUGGAUACCUUGGUUCCCAG
rnacentral:misc_RNA from 1 species